GGGUUGUGAGGUUAAGCGACUAAGCGUACACGGUGGAUGCCCUGGCAGUCAGAGGCGAUGAAGGACGUGCUAAUCUGCGAAAAGCGUCGGUAAGGUGAUAUGAACCGUUAUAACCGGCGAUGUCCGAAUGGGGAAACCCAGUGCAAUUCGUUGCACUAUCGUUAACUGAAUACAUAGGUUAACGAGGCGAACCGGGGGAACUGAAACAUCUAAGUACCCCGAGGAAAAGAAAUCAACCGAGAUUCCCCCAGUAGCGGCGAGCGAACGGGGAGCAGCCCAGAGUCUGAAUCAGCUUGUGUGUUAGUGGAACGGUCUGGAAAGUCCGACGGUACAGGGUGAUAGUCCCGUACACCAAAAUGCACAGGUUGUGAACUCGAAGAGUAGGGCGGGACACGUGGUAUCCUGUCUGAAUAUGGGGGGACCAUCCUCCAAGGCUAAAUACUCCUGACUGACCGAUAGUGAACCAGUACCGUGAGGGAAAGGCGAAAAGAACCCCGGCGAGGGGAGUGAAAAAGAACCUGAAACCGUGUACGUACAAGCAGUGGGAGCACCUUCGGGUGUGACUGCGUACCUUUUGUAUAAUGGGUCAGCGACUUAUAUUCUGUAGCAAGGUUAACCGUAUAGGGGAGCCGCAGGGAAACCGAGUCUUAACUGGGCGUUAAGUUGCAGGGUAUAGACCCGAAACCCGGUGAUCUAGCCAUGGGCAGGUUGAAGGUUGGGUAACACUAACUGGAGGACCGAACCGACUAAUGUUGAAAAAUUAGCGGAUGACUUGUGGCUGGGGGUGAAAGGCCAAUCAAACCGGGAGAUAGCUGGUUCUCCCCGAAAGCUAUUUAGGUAGCGCCUCGUGAACUCAUCUUCGGGGGUAGAGCACUGUUUCGGCUAGGGGGUCAUCCCGACUUACCAACCCGAUGCAAACUACGAAUACCGAAGAAUGUUAUCACGGGAGACACACGGCGGGUGCUAACGUCCGUCGUGAAGAGGGAAACAACCCAGACCGCCAGCUAAGGUCCCAAAGUCAUGGUUAAGUGGGAAACGAUGUGGGAAGGCACAGACAGCCAGGAUGUUGGCUUAGAAGCAGCCAUCAUUUAAAGAAAGCGUAAUAGCUCACUGGUCGAGUCGGCCUGCGCGGAAGAUGUAACGGGGCUAAACCAUGCACCGAAGCUGCGGCAGCGACACUAUGUGUUGUUGGGUAGGGGAGCGUUCUGUAAGCCUGCGAAGGUGUGCUGUGAGGCAUGCUGGAGGUAUCAGAAGUGCGAAUGCUGACAUAAGUAACGAUAAAGCGGGUGAAAAGCCCGCUCGCCGGAAGACCAAGGGUUCCUGUCCAACGUUAAUCGGGGCAGGGUGAGUCGACCCCUAAGGCGAGGCCGAAAGGCGUAGUCGAUGGGAAACAGGUUAAUAUUCCUGUACUUGGUGUUACUGCGAAGGGGGGACGGAGAAGGCUAUGUUAGCCGGGCGACGGUUGUCCCGGUUUAAGCAUGUAGGCUGGUUGUCCAGGCAAAUCCGGAUAAUCAAGGCUGAGGUGUGAUGACGAGGCACUACGGUGCUGAAGUAACAAAUGCCCUGCUUCCAGGAAAAGCCUCUAAGCAUCAGGUAACAUCAAAUCGUACCCCAAACCGACACAGGUGGUCAGGUAGAGAAUACCAAGGCGCUUGAGAGAACUCGGGUGAAGGAACUAGGCAAAAUGGUGCCGUAACUUCGGGAGAAGGCACGCUGGUGUGUAGGUGAAGUCCCUGCGGAUGGAGCUGAGACCAGUCGAAGAUACCAGCUGGCUGCAACUGUUUAUUAAAAACACAGCACUGUGCAAACACGAAAGUGGACGUAUACGGUGUGACGCCUGCCCGGUGCCGGAAGGUUAAUUGAUGGGGUUAUCCGUAAGGAGAAGCUCUUGAUCGAAGCCCCGGUAAACGGCGGCCGUAACUAUAACGGUCCUAAGGUAGCGAAAUUCCUUGUCGGGUAAGUUCCGACCUGCACGAAUGGCGUAAUGAUGGCCAGGCUGUCUCCACCCGAGACUCAGUGAAAUUGAACUCGCUGUGAAGAUGCAGUGUACCCGCGGCAAGACGGAAAGACCCCGUGAACCUUUACUAUAGCUUGACACUGAACAUUGAGCCUUGAUGUGUAGGAUAGGUGGGAGGCUUUGAAGCGUGGACGCCAGUCUGCGUGGAGCCAACCUUGAAAUACCACCCUUUAAUGUUUGAUGUUCUAACGUUGGCCCCUUACCGGGGUUGCGGACAGUGUCUGGUGGGUAGUUUGACUGGGGCGGUCUCCUCCCAAAGCGUAACGGAGGAGCACGAAGGUUAGCUAAUCCUGGUCGGACAUCAGGAGGUUAGUGCAAUGGCAUAAGCUAGCUUGACUGCGAGCGUGACGGCGCGAGCAGGUGCGAAAGCAGGUCAUAGUGAUCCGGUGGUUCUGAAUGGAAGGGCCAUCGCUCAACGGAUAAAAGGUACUCCGGGGAUAACAGGCUGAUACCGCCCAAGAGUUCAUAUCGACGGCGGUGUUUGGCACCUCGAUGUCGGCUCAUCACAUCCUGGGGCUGAAGUAGGUCCCAAGGGUAUGGCUGUUCGCCAUUUAAAGUGGUACGCGAGCUGGGUUUAGAACGUCGUGAGACAGUUCGGUCCCUAUCUGCCGUGGGCGCUGGAGAAUUGAGGGGGGCUGCUCCUAGUACGAGAGGACCGGAGUGGACGCAUCACUGGUGUUCGGGUUGUCAUGCCAAUGGCACUGCCCGGUAGCUAAAUGCGGAAGAGAUAAGUGCUGAAAGCAUCUAAGCACGAAACUUGCCCCGAGAUGAGUUCUCCCUGAGACUUUAAGUCUCCUGAAGGAACGUUGAAGACGACGACGUUGAUAGGCCGGGUGUGUAAGCGCAGCGAUGCGUUGAGCUAACCGGUACUAAUGAACCGUGAGGCUUAACCUUACAACGCCGAAG
rnacentral:rRNA from 1 species